AUUGAACGCUCGCGGCAGGCCUAACACAUGCAAGUCGAGCGGGUGAAAUGAGCUGGCUCCUGGAUUCAGCGGCGGACGGGUGAGUAAUGCCUAGGAAUCUGCCUGGUGGUGGGGUAUAACGUCCAGAAACGGGCGCUAGUACCGCAUACGGCCUGAGGUAUAAAAUGGGGGAUCGUCGGACCUCACGCUAUCAUAUGAGCCUAGGUCGGAUGAGCUAGUUGGUGGGGUAAAGGCGUACCACGGCGACGAUACGUAACUGGUCUGAGCGGAUGAUCAGUCACACUGGACCUGAGACACGGCACAGACUACUAUGCGAGGCAGCAGUGGGGAAUAUUGGACUAUGGGAGAAAGCCUGAUCCAGCCCUGCCGCGUGUGUGAAGAAGGUCUUCGGAUUGUAAAGCACUUUAAGUUGGGAGGAAGGGCAGUACGUUAAUACCUUGCUGUUCUGACGGUACCAACAGAAUAAGCACCGGCUAACUUCGUG
rnacentral:rRNA from 1 species